rnacentral:rRNA from 1 species
ACCAGGUCUUGACAUCCUCUGACAAUCCUAGAGAUAGGACGUUCCCCUUCGGGGGACAGAGUGACAGGUGGUGCAUGGUUGUCGUCAGCUCGUGUCGUGAGAUGUUGGGUUAAGUCCCGCAACGAGCGCAACCCUUGAUCUUAGUUGCCAGCAUUCAGUUGGGCACUCUAAGGUGACUGCCGGUGACAAACCGGAGGAAGGUGGGGAUGACGUCAAAUCAUCAUGCCCCUUAUGACCUGGGCUACACACGUGCUACAAUGGAUGGUACAAAGGGCUGCAAACCUGCGAAGGUAAGCGAAUCCCAUAAAGCCAUUCUCAGUUCGGAUUGUAGGCUGCAACUCGCCUACAUGAAGCCGGAAUCGCUAGUAAUCGCGGAUCAGCAUGCCGCGGUGAAUACGUUCCCGGGCCUUGUACACACCGCCCGUCACACCACGAGAGUUUGUAACACCCGAAGUCGGUGAGGUAACCUUUAUGGAGCCAGCCGCCUAAGGUGGGACAGAUGAUUGGGGUGAAGUCGUAACAAGGUAACC